UGUCAAGCCCAUUGAUUGCCAGAGCUCAUUCGGCUGAUCUGGCAGGCUAGGUA
rnacentral:sRNA from 1 species